rnacentral:rRNA from 1 species
UACGAAGGGGGGCUAGCGUUGCUCGGAAUCACUGGGCGUAAAGGGUGCGUAGGCGGGUCUUUAAGUCAGGGGUGAAAUCCUGGAGCUCAACUCCAGAACUGCCUUUGAUACUGAGGAUCUUGAGUACGGGAGAGGUGAGUGGAACUGCGAGUGUAGAGGUGAAAUUCGUAGAUAUUCGCAAGAACACCAGUGGCGAAGGCGGCUCACUGGCCCGUUACUGACGCUGAGGCACGAAAGCGUGGGGAGCGAACAGG